rnacentral:miRNA from 2 species
UGUUGGCAUGGUUCAAUCAAA